GAAAAAACAAUACAGGUUUGUUUUCAUUAGUAGGAAGAAAAGGUUUCAUGGAAGUGCGUUUCUCCAUUCUCCAUCAAUGUUGCUUCGUCAUGGUGGCCCAUAGGCUCAAGAAAUAGAAUUUCUUCUGAUGUUUUUCUAUAUAUAUAUCAUAAUUUGAAUGAAACCAAAAAUUCUGAGACUAAUUAAAAGAAAUACAAGCUUUUUCAUGUUCAAGGUCACCUCAGAAAUUUAAAGAUACUCUCUUGCUCCUCACCAACUCUCUCACUCUCUCUUUCUCUCUCACUUUCUUUCUUUCAGCUUUUAUGGACUUCUUAAAGUGUUCCAGGUCCUCUGUGGAAGAUACGGAAAAUUUUAGUGAAAUCCUCCAGUGUCUUCUCCUAUGGAGUGUACAGUAUAUUUAACAAGAAAGUAAACAGAUAAUUACAACUUAAUAUAAGCACUAACAAAGGACAAGUAGUGAGUGCUAUGAUGGGGAGUCAGGAAGUGGAAGAUAUCAAGAUAAACGUCUGAAAAAAGGUGUUGUUUAAGCUAAGGACAGUAGACAUUUAACAAAGUUGGUGUGUUGGAGGAGAGAAAACCCCAGAAUACUGUUCCAGAGAGAAGAAACAUCAUGUAUGAUAUAUGAAAGUAAUUUUAUUCAAAGAACAGAAAGAAGUUCAAACAGAAUCAGUCUGUUUAUUAUGAUCAUCAGGGGAACUGUGGAGCAUCUUCCACUUUGGAAAUCACUGACAUGGAUCCCGGCUAAUAUCAGAUUCUUAGAGACAUAGGAACUCUUUUGGAGAAGUGGAAACCAGAGAUGUCAUGUAGGCAACGAUUCUCUUGGUCAUGUAGCAGCUGUGACACGGAAGGAAAAAAACAUCUGGGGAGCACCUUCUUUAUGUCCGACAUUUUGUUGGGCAUUUAACAGCCCCUACCUCACCUAAUCCUGGAAUGUUAGGAAGUCAUUCUGAGGACCAUGGUAAGAAAGUAUCUGGGCAGAAGGAUGCAUGUGUGUGUGUGUGUGUGUGUGUGUGUAUGUGUGUGUGUGUGUGUGUGUGUGUGUGUGUGCUAUAUUAAAUGCAACAAAAAAGUAAAAGAAAUCUUAACCUCUCUCUGGAUGAAUUGAGCAGGUUUUUUUAACAGAAUGCUAAUCUAGCUUCAGUCUGUAGAUUGAUAACAAGUGCUUUGUUGAAUGUAAUUAAUAAAUAUGAAAGAUUAGAUGUUGAAUCUGAUAUCUGUUGACCUUGUAAUUCUACAGACCUUACAGGCAAUAAAACAUCCCUGUAUGUUGUACUGAA